UACGAAGGGGGCUAGCGUUGCUCGGAUUGACUGGGCGUAAAGGGCGCGUAGGCGGCGGACACAGUCAGACGUGAAAUUCCUGGGCUCAACCUGGGGGCUGCGUUUGAUACAUGUCUGCUUGAGUUCGGAAGAGGGUCGUGGAAUUCCCAGUGUAGAGGUGAAAUUCGUAGAUAUUGGGAAGAACACCGGUGGCGAAGGCGGCGACCUGGUCCGAUACUGGCGCUGAGGCGCGAAAGCGUGGGGAGCAAACAGG
rnacentral:rRNA from 1 species